AGUAAAUAGAUACCCGGGUAGUCCACGCCGUAAACGAUGUCGACUUGGAGGUUGUGCCCUUGAGGCGUGGCUUCCGGAGCUAAACGCGUUAAAGUCGACCGCCUGGGGAGUACGGCCGCAAGGUUAAAACUCAAAUGAAUUGACGGGGGCCCGCACAAGCGGUGGAGCAUGUGGUUUAAUUCGAUGCAACGCGAAGAACCUUACCUACUCUUGACAUCCAGAGAACUUUCCAGAGAUGGAUUGGUGCCUUCGGGAACUCUGAGACAGGUGCUGCAUGGCUGUCGUCAGCUCGUGUUGUGAAAUGUUGGGUUAAGUCCCGCAACGAGCGCAACCCUUAUCCUUUGUUGCCAGCGGUUAGGCCGGGAACUCAAAGGAGACUGCCAGUGAUAAACUGGAGGAAGGUGGGGAUGACGUCAAGUCAUCAUGGCCCUUACGAGUAGGGCUACACACGUGCUACAAUGGCGCAUACAAAGAGAAAGCGACCUCGCGAGAGCAAGCGGACCUCAUAAAGUGCGUCGUAGUCCGGAUUGGAGUCUGC
rnacentral:rRNA from 1 species